UACGAACCGUCCAAACGUUAUUCGGAAUCAUUGGGCUUAAAGGGUAUGUAGGCGGCGCUGUUAGUCGGGUGUGAAAUCCCUCGGCUCAACCGAGGAAUUGCGCCCGAAACUGCAGUGCUUGAGGGAGACAGAGGUAAGCGGAACUGAUGGUGGAGCGGUGAAAUGCGUUGAUAUCAUCAGGAACACCGGUGGCGAAAGCGGCUUACUGGGUCUCUUCUGACGCUGAGAUACGAAAGCUAGGGGAGCGAAGGGG
rnacentral:rRNA from 1 species